AUUGAACGCUGGCGGCAUGCCUAACACAUGCAAGUCGAACGGCAGCACGGCAGUAGCAAUACUGUGGGUGGCGAGUGGCGGACGGGUGAGGAAUACGUCGGAAUCUGCCCAGUCGUGGGGGAUAACUAGCCGAAAGGUUAGCUAAUACCGCAUACGACCGAGAGGUGAAAAGCGGGGGACCGCAAGGCCUCGCGCGAUUGGAUGAGCCGACGUCGGAUUAGCUAGUUGGUGGGGUAAAGGCCCACCAAGGCGACGAUCCGUAGCUGGUCUGAGAGGAUGAUCAGCCACACUGGAACUGAGACAACGGUCCAGACUCCUACGGGAGGCAGCAGUGGGGAAUAUUGGACAAUGGGCGCAAGCCUGAUCCAGCAAUGCCGCGUGUGUGAAGAAGGCCU
rnacentral:rRNA from 1 species